AAGGAAUUGGCGGGGGAGCACCACAACAGGUGGAGCAUGCGGUUUAAUUGGACUCAACGCCGGGAAGCUCACCGGAUAGGACAGCAGAAUGAUUGCCGGGCUGAAGACCCUGCAUGACUAGCUGAGAGGAGGUGCAUGGCCGUCGUCAGUUCGUAUUGUGAAGCAUCCUGUUAAGUCAGGCAACGAGCAAGACCCACGCCAACAGUUGCCAGCAUGGUCUCCGGACUGAUGGGGACACUGUUGGGACCGCCUCUGCUAAAGAGGAGGAAGGAAUGGGCAACGGUAGGUCAGCAUGCCCCGAAUUAUCCGGGCUACACGCGGGCUACAAUGGGCAGGACAAUGGGCAUCGACACCGUGAGGUGGAGGCAAUCUCCUAAACCUGUCCUUAGUUCGGAUUGUGGGCUGAAACUCGCCCACAUGAAGCUGGAAUCUGUAGUAAUCGCGUUUCAAAAUAACGCGGUGAAUUUGUCCCUGCUCCUUGCACACACCGCCCGUCAAACCACCCGAGUGGGGUUUGGAUGAGGUUACGGUCGUUGCCGUAGUCGAAUCUAGGUUCAACAAGGGGGGUUAAGUCGUUUCAUGGUANCC
rnacentral:rRNA from 1 species